rnacentral:snRNA from 1 species
GUGCUCGCUUUGGCAGCACAUAUACUAAAAUUGGAACAUUAUAGAGAAGACUAGCAGAGAAGGCAAUGGCAACCCACUCCAGUACUCUUGCCUGGAAAAUCCCAUGGGCAGAGGAGCCUGGUAGGCUGCAGUCCAUGGGGUGGCGAAGAGUCAGACACAACUGAGUAACUUCACUUUCACUUUUCACUUUCAUGCAUUGGAGAAGGAAAUGGCAACCCACUCCAGUGUUCUUGUCUGGAGAAUCCCAGGGACGGAGGAGCCUGGCGGGCUGCUGUCUAUGGGGUCACACAGAGUCGGACACAACUGAAGUGACUUAGCAGCAGCAGCGAAGACUAGCAUGGCCCUUGAGCAAGGAUGACAUGCAAAUUCAUGAAUCAUUCCAUAUUUGG